rnacentral:rRNA from 1 species
UACGUAGGGGGCGAGCGUUGUCCGGAUUCAUUGGGCGUAAAGCGCGGGCAGGCGGCCCGCUCAGUCGGCCGUGAAAGCGCCGGGCUCAACUCGGCGAGGUCGGGCGAUACUGGCGGGCUGGAGGCUGGUAGAGGGCGGUGGAAUUCCGGGUGUAGUGGUGGAAUGCGUAGAGCUCCGGAGGAACACCAGUGGCGAAGGCGGCCGCCUGGGCCA